ensembl:snRNA U1 U1 spliceosomal RNA
AGAGUCACCUGGCAGGAGAGGUACCAUGAUCACCAAGGUGGUUUUCCCAGGGUGAGGCUUAUCCAUUGCACAAAGAUGCAGAGCCCUGGCAAAAUUUCCUCCGAUUCAGAGGAGGCUUUGAAUUUUACAGCCUCAC